rnacentral:tRNA from 1 species
AACCCCAUAGGUUAAUUAAACUUCAUGAAUUGCUAUUGUGAGAUAGGGGGUUG